AAUCGAUGGGGAAGGGAGAGAUGGACCCUGUCGUGGUCAACGACUCACAUAGGUCUGAUAUUGGCUUCGUCAAGCAGAUUAAUUUGCUCAAGCCCCGAUCAAAAUUUCUGGUACUUCGAAGACUCGAAGUUAUUGCAAACUCAAAUUGCAAGACGAGAAAAAAAAAAAGGACAGCAGCAGAGUUGACAGUUGAAGGAGUACUACAAGCGAUAGUCGCAGACUGUAGAAAUGCAUUAGCAGAAAUAACCAUCAAUAUUGUCUCAUUAUACAAACAGUAGCAAAACUGGAAGAAUGGAGUAGUAGAACUGGAAAAAUGUAGUAGCAGAACUAGAAGAAUGCAUUAGCAGAGAUAACGUUUCAAUAUUGUCUCAUUAUGCAAGCAGUAGCAGAAUUGGAAGAGUACUGUAGCAGAAUUGGAAGAAUGUAGUAGUAGAGAUAACCUUCAAUAUUGUCUCAAAUAUACAAGCAGUAGCAGAAUUGGCCGGACGACGACAAGUGUUGCAGUAGCACAGCUGGACUCAGCAGAAGUGGGCAAGUAAGAGUCAAGCAGCAGACUUAGCGAGUAAAAUUGUAUUAGCAACCCCCUUAAAUAUGCAGGGCUAGUUUUGGUAAGAAUUAGAGUAUAAGGCAGUAGCAAAAUUGGAGGAUGAAUCUUCAAGCAAUAAUAGUAGAAGUGGAUAACUACAGUAGCAGAAGUGGAGGAUAAAGCAGUAGCCCUGCUACUACUUCUACUAGGAUGUUAACCUCUGCUACUACUUCUGCUGGGAUGUAACCCCUGCUACUACAUUAGCUGAGCCACUAAAAACCUGCUACUACUUCUAGUGGGAUGUUAACCCCUGUUACUACUUUCUACUAAAAUGUUAACCCCUGUUA